UGGGGCGUCGCCAAGUGGUAAGGCACCGGGUUUUGGUCCCGGCACUCCUAGGUUCGAAUCCUAGCGCCCCAG
rnacentral:tRNA from 2 species